ensembl:snRNA LOC120094535 U2 spliceosomal RNA
AUCGCUUCUCGGCCUUUUGGCUAAGAUCAAGUGUAAGGCAUAGCAGCAAAACUGACUCACAUCUGCCAUUAGGAGAACUUGUUCACAUCUUGGUGGGGCAGAAAGCAUGGGGAAAAAUGCUGGUACUCCACCAACUCUGUUUCCCCUCAGUAC